GAUGAACGCUGGCGGCGUGCCUAAUACAUGCAAGUCGAGCGAACGGACGCUAAUCUUGCUUUUCUGUUUUUAUCGGCUUACGUGUGUUUAACUCGUGUAUAACCUACCUAUAUUUCUUGUAUAACUUCGGGAAUCCGUAUCUUAUACCGUAUAAUAUUUUGAUCCUCUUUUUUCUAUAGUUAAUUUCGGUCUUUCUGUCUCUUUUAGAUGGUUCCGCGCUUCAUUAGCUAGUUGGUAAGGUAACGUCUUACCAAGGCAACGAUGCAUAUCCGAACUGAGAGGGUGAUCGGCCACACUGGAAGUGAGACACGGUAAAGACAACUACGGGAGGCAGCAGAAGGGAAUGUUACGCAAUGGGCGAAAGCAUGACGGAGCAACGACGAGUGAGAGAUGAAGGACUACGGAUCGUAAAAAUCUGUUAUUAGGGAAGAAAAAAUGUGUAAGAAAAAGAGAACAGAGUGACGGUAACAAAUAAGAAAGCAACGGCUAACUACGUG
rnacentral:rRNA from 1 species